rnacentral:rRNA from 1 species
UACGUAGGGGGCAAGCGUUGUCCGGAUUUAUUGGGCGUAAAGAGCGUGUAGGCGGCCUGACAGGUCUGCUGUGAAAACUCGAGGCUCAACCUCGAGAUGUCGGCGGAAACCGUCUGGCUAGAGUCCGGAAGAGGAGAGCGGAAUUCCUGGUGUAGCGGUGAAAUGCGCAGAUAUCAGGAAGAACACCCGUGGCGAAGGCGGCUCUCUGGGACGGUACUGACGCUGAGACGCGAAAGCGUGGGGAGCGAACAGG